UAUAUUGAUGGAAAUGUAUGGAAAGCAUACAGUUGGACCGAAAAAUUAAUUCUCAGUCGCAAUCCUCUGACUGCUGUCGAAGAUCCAUAUCUCUUUGAACUGCCGGCAUUAAAAUAUCUAGACAUGGGAACAACGCACAUCACACUUACAACACUUAAGAACAUUCUCAUGAUGACUGUUGAACUGGAAAAACUGAUCUUACCUAGCCAUAUGGCCUGCUGCCUCUGCCAAUUUAAAAAUAGCAUUGAGACUGUCUGCAAGACAGUCACGCUGCAUUGCAACACUGCAUGUCUGACUAACAGCGUACAUUGUCCUGAAGAAGCAUCUGUAGGGAAUCCAGAAGGAGCGUUCAUGAAGGUGUUACAAGCCCGGAAGCAGCACACGAGCACUAAGCUGACUAUUGAGUCGGAGGCGCCCUCAGACAGCAGUGGCAUCAAGUUGUCAGGCUUUGGGAGUGAGCAGCUAGACAUCAAUGAUGAGAGUGAUGUUAUCAGUGCACUAAGUUACAUCUUGCCUUAUUUCUCAGCAGGAAAUCUAGGUGGGGAAUCAAUAUUGUUACCGUUCGCCAAACUGCUUUUUUCA
rnacentral:sRNA from 1 species